rnacentral:rRNA from 1 species
GAUGAACGCUGGCGGCGUGCCUAAUACAUGCAAGUCGAACGAGGCCCAAUGUACUUGUACAGAGGUGUCCUAGUGGCGAACGGGUGAGUAACGCGUUGGUGACCUGCCCCGAAGUGGGGGAUAACAGUUCGAAAGGACUGCUAAUACCCCAUGUGACUGUGAGAGUUAGAGGUCUCACUAUCAAAGGAGUAAUCCGCUUCGGGAGGGGCCUGCGUCCCAUCAGCUAGUUGGUAAGGUAAUGGCUUACCAAGGCUUAGACGGGUAGGGGACCUGAGAGGGUGACCCCCCACACUGGAACUGAAACACGGUCCAGACACCUACGGGUGGCAGCAGUAGGGAAUAUUGCACAAUGGGCGAAAGCCUGAUGCAGCAACGCCGCGUGCACGAUGAAGGCCUUCGGGUUGUAAAGUGCUUUUAUGAGGGAAGAGAAAGGACUGUACCUCAUGAAUAAGGAUCGGCUAACUACGUGCCAGCAGCCGCGGUAACACGUAGGAUCCGAGCGUUAUCCGGAUUUACUGGGCGUAAAGCGCGUGCAGGUGGUCUAUUAAGUUGGAUGUUAAAUCUCCUGGCUUAACUGGGAGUUGUCGUUCAAAACUGGUAGACUAGAGGACGGUAGAGGAAGGUGGAAUUCCGGGUGUAGUGGUGAAAUGCGUAGAUAUCCGGAAGAACAUCAGUGGCGAAGGCGACCUUCUGGACCGCUCCUGACACUCCAACGCGAAAGCUAGGGGAGCAAACGGGAUUAGAAACCCCGGUAGUCCUAGCUGUAAACGAUGUGAACUUGGUGUCGGUGGGGUAAAACCUAUCGGUGCCGAAGCCAACGCGAUAAGUUCACCGCCUGGGGACUACGGCCGCAAGGUUAAAACUCAAAGGAAUUGACGGGUGCCCGCACAAGCAGCGGAGCGUGUGGUUUAAUUCGAUGCUACACGAAGAACCUUACCUGGGUUUGACAUAUACGUGGUAGAGAACGGAAACGGGAUCGACCCUUCGGGGAGCGUAUACAGGUGCUGCAUGGCUGUCGUCAGCUCGUGUCGUGAGAUGUUGGGUUAAGUCCCGCAACGAGCGCAACCCUUAUCAUUAAUUGCUAUCAUUUAUUUGAGCACUUUAAUGAGACUGCCGGUGACAAACCGGAGGAAGGUGGGGAUGACGUCAAGUCCUCAUGGCCCUUAUGGGUAGGGCUUCACACGUAAUACAAUGGAGUGUACAGAGGGUAGCCAACCCGCGAGGGGGAGCCAAUCUCACAAAGCACUUCGUAGUCCGGAUCGGAGUCUGCAACUCGACUCCGUGAAGUCGGAAUCGCUAGUAAUCGCGGAUCAGCAUGUCGCGGUGAAUACGUUCCCGGGUCUUGUACACACCGCCCGUCACACCAUGGGAGUGGUUUUCACCAGAAAGCUGGUAGCUUAACCGUAAGGAGGGCGCCUGCCACGGUGAGAGUCAUGACUGGGGUG